CGUAGGUUGAACCUGCGGAAGGAUCAUUA
rnacentral:rRNA from 1 species